rnacentral:rRNA from 1 species
AUGAAGUCGGAAUCGCUAGUAAUCGCGGAUCAGCAUGCCGCGGUGAAUACGUUCCCGGGCCUUGUACACACGCCCGUCACACCAUGAGAGUUUGUAACACCCAAAGCCGGUGGGGUAACCUUUUGGAGCCAGCCGUCUAAGGUGGGACAGAUGAUUGGGGUGAAGUCGUAACAAGGUAAC